GACCUCUUCACAAAAUCACUCCCUACCUCGGUAUUCAGAAAACACAUCCAUAACAUUGGAAUGUGUCAUCUGAAGGAUCUAUGACUGUUUAUUCGAGGGGGAGCUUACGUAGUUGUACUCUUUUUACCUUACUAUGGUUUUUCCCAUUGGGUUUUCCUGGAAAGGUUUUUAACGAGACAACAAAGACGUUAAGCGAGAGCGGAUAGUGACA
rnacentral:lncRNA from 1 species